GGGGGCGACAGGUUUCGACGGGACGGCUGAGGUCUGACCUGCGCGUCGAGGUCUCCGGUAACCUCGUAAAACAACUGGAACACUUUACAAGUGCCAACGAUUAUUCGUAUGCACUGGCUGCCUAAAAAAGGGUAGCCCGUUCUGCCCGGAUCCGCUUACCGGUUCGGGACAGGGCGUCGAUCAGGUAAGCUGGCGCCGCAUCGGGCCCUCGUUUGCGGCGUAAGACUUAAGAGGACUGGGCGGGCUGAAAGCCCGGCGAUUGGCGUUCUGCCUGCCGAGACUCAAUGAUUCGCCUACACGCGUAGACGGUCAUUCGGACGCGUUUUCGGACGGGGGUUCGAUUCCCCCCGCCUCCAUUG
rnacentral:tmRNA from 1 species